CGUUGGUGCUUGACGGCACACCACAUGUGUUUAGUGCACUUUCAACGGCGUAAUUAUCUCUCUAUACACACACAGAUCAGGUUGUUUCCUUUUACUUUUCCCCUUAUCUGUUACGAAUUUCGUUUAAAUCUCUUUGGCAAAAAUUUAAUCUCUUUGCUUGAAAUUUGUUGAACUUGUAAGGGGAUAUUAAAUUUAAUCUAUUUUCAUAUAUUAUGUUGUGUUUGGAGCAUAAAUUCUUUUGGCUAUUGAAAUUAUUGUUUUAGUUUAAACUUUUAAUUAUUUUUAUUUUUAUUUUUUCGGUUUUAAUUCAUAAUUGCUGUUUUACAGGAGUGGUUCAGUUUUUUUAAUAUCUUGCAACUAAGCGUCUUCCUUACUUUGCCUGUUCUCUAUCUUUUAUCUCUCGGCUUUCUUUAAGCAGACUCUUCCUUCGCAUCAUCAAGAGAACAAGUCAGGCAUGAAAGUCAUUUUUCUGAAUCAUGGCAAGGUUGUUGUACGGCUGUAAUUUACACCCUGAUCUAGACUUGUGCUAAUGAAAACUUAGAAACAUAAAUUAAUCUUUGAACAGGAUCAUUGCCAAUGUUAGAAGUAAUAUGGUAACAAACUCUUAUGUCUCUUUCAAAUUUACCUCGUGAGUUACAUUUUAUAUACUCGACUUUUGUUUUAUAGAAGUCUGUUUCAGAUUGGUUUGCAAUGGAGGCAUUGUUAUGCUUUCAUGAGGCCUAAACUACAUCGUUAAUGUCUUGUAAUGGCUUUUUGUUAUGGCAGGUAUGAUCGAGCGAGGGAAGUUGAAAUAGGAAAUAAGGACGUAAAGCUUGAAUACCUGGAAGAAGCAUUCACAACAUCCAACUGGAUAGUUCAGAUUUACAAAGUCAAACCACCAAAUAAUAAGGGGGGAUUAACAUAACCCCUUCUCCCUUUUAUGUAGGAUAGAAGGAACAUGGUUGAUGAAUUUUGAGAGCUUCUUUAGUCUAAGAACUAUUUAGGGAUAUACACAUUUUGCCAUUGAGUUUAUGUUUUUAACAUUCGAGGCUUCUAUUUAUUUGCUGGAAUCAUUUAUGUUGAAAAUUUUAUAUUGCCUCCUUGCCUAAUAUUUAUCAAGUCUUUUGAUCAAGUAAAUGCCAAGAUCCUUGAUUGCUUGGGACGAUGUAAGUGACUGGCUUAGUAGAUUAUAAAGUUAAGAAUGGGCACUGGACGAUUUCCUCAAUGAAGGAGAGCUUCUUAAGAUGAAACUAGAUAACUAUUCUGGUAAACAAAUAAAUCUGUGUUGGGUCUUCAUGAUUUUCCUUGUUAUGUAUUGGGUGUCUCAAUUUUAGUUUUCAUUUACUUAUUUUUCUGCUUAAGUUUUUAUUUUUAUUUUUUGUUCUUGAUGCUCUUGGUCUAUUUUUUUUUUUUUUUAAAUCUGAUUUAUAUAAAAUAUAUGCAAUUUCAGGGGCUGGAUUUCAAUCCAAAAACAAGUAUUUGUUUGGGAAGGUAAAUAUUCAGAUCAAGCUUGUAGAAGGUGACUCUGCAGGGGCUGUCACUACUUUCUAUGUGAGUUUCAAUUUUCAACUAUUAUUUUUCAUGACUAAUAUUAUAUUUAUACACACAAACAUUUACACGAACUGGGUUUAAUGCAAUUAUAGUUUUAAUACAUUAUGUCAUUCAAUGCAUUUAUUUAAGUGUUCAGUUGCAGAAAAUAGAAAACUUGACAUCGUUUAAAUUCAAGAACUAGGGUAGUCUUAGCUGGCUGUUCCUUUCAGCUCAUGAAUUGGAUUAAAUUCCAUUUAUUUUUCACAUUUAAAGCCUACCCACCUAGUAUUUUGUCCGUGAACCAUUCAUUUCCUCCAAAAAAAAAAAAAAAAAAAAAAAAAAAAAGAUCUUUUAUUUUGUUGGGUCAAAUCUAUUUCUUUUUAAAAUUAGAAGAUUAUCACUCUCUAAUUUGCUUUAAUGUUAAUUGGUAAUUGACUGUGACAUUGAUGAUGAUGAUAACAAGUUUUUCUUUACUCUUUUUUGAGCUGUUGAUGUUGAUAUUUUGUUUUUGGUUUUGAUGUGUGCAGAUGUCAUUAGACGGCUCAAAUCAUAACGAGUUCGAUUUUGGCUCCCUAUUUUGUUUGUGGCUUCAGUAUUUUCUUUCAAGAAUAUUACAAUAUCUCAAUUAGUUGAUAGAGCAAUUUAUAGUAGUGAUAAAAUAAUUAUGAUGAUUUCAGAAACUUUUUAUUAAAUGGCGUUUUUUAUCUCUUUCUCUCUCCUCUUGUUUAAAUUGGAUUAUUUGCAGGGCUCUGCAAAUCAUUUAAUGCCAAGGACUGACUCUUGAUUACUUCAGGACAAAUUCAUUUACAUCCCCAUCUACCUUGACUUUACUGUGUUUUAAGUACUAUUUCUUUAAUUCAUUGCAUGUAUUUUGUUUGUAUUUUGUUCACAAAUAUUAGAAAAAAGAAAGUUUGAAGUUUGGUGAGUUCUUUUGAAGAAACUUGUGGUUGUGUUCUUUAAUUCGUUGCAUGUAUAUUGUUUGUAUUUUGUUUUCCACAUAACAAGGGUCAUGACGAUAAAAGAGAUCUAUGUGCAGUUUUUAAUGUGUUGGAUUCAAUGCUGAAGGGUAGCUUGGAGCGGUUGAAAACAAUGAGGUACAUUUCAUCAAUUGGCUUCAUUUCUUCAAACUAUGUGAUAUACAUAAAAGUCUUCCAAAGGGGCUAGGAAAAGACAAUAAUGGGAGCGUCGAUUGCAUAGCCUAUCAAGUACAUCACAAUUUGUAAGUUAUAUGGUCUUUAUGUUCGAUAAAAUUCUUUUAUGAUUGCACAUUUUUAAAUGGGGGUCACAUGCCUUUAAGUGACCAAUUUUGUGGUGUAUCUUGAACUUUAUUACCUUAUUGGUACAUCGGCCCAUGUGGAGGCCAUUUUUAUUUCUUGUUUUAAAAUGUUGAAAGCAUGGGAGUAUGGGCUCAUCGUAUGUGGAGGUUUUGAUUGAUUGUUGUGGAGGAGAAGUUGUUUAUAAUGUUGGUUAAGGAGUUAAUGCAAGUUGGCAACUUAAUUUUUUUUUUUUUUUUUUUUUUUUUAUGUAUUAGUUGUUAUUCAUAUUAUAUGCAUAUAAUUGAUGUAAGAAAAAAUGGGGUGGAUUAAUUACCUUGAAAAAAGAGUGCUAUAGUCACAUUUGUAUUCUCUAGUACCACAUGUCUUAGAAUGGGCUUUCCAGUCAGAUUGAACCGCAUAUCUCUUUGAACAUUUCUUACACUUGUACUUCUUCUCACCAUACUUUCUUAAGUAAUGCUUCUUGAUUAUGUCCACUUCUCACAAAUACACCUUCCUCUUCACUUCUUUUGUAGUUUUCUACUUUAGCUUCCAAGGUAGGUUGUGUCCUCUUCUAUGGAGCUGGAGUUUUUG